rnacentral:rRNA from 12 species
AAACAUGGCCACACCAGAGUGCGAGUGCCCAAUAGCGUCCGCUCUUGGAAGCUAAGCAGGGCCGUGCCUGGUUAAUACUUGAAUGGGACCAAGUUGAAAGACCAGGGGCCGCUAUC